GUAGAGACAUGUUUUUGAAUUAAUGACAACCACUGGGUUUCUUUAAACAACAGUACUACGCUUUGAAAGUACAGUCGGUGACAACUGUUAAAAGCAUUUAUUGAAGUUUGAUGCAAGCCAGUCGCAUUUCAUAACACCACUCAGGUUUACAAAAAUAGGAUGUUUCCUUCAAUAUAAAGCCUUUUUAUGUUCUGUGCUUCUGCUGGUGUAAAUCCUCUUAAAAGAGAUUAGUCUGAACAAUGUCAUAUUGUGCCAUUAAGCACUGCGAUCAUUUAUUAACUGUAAUUUUUAAAUGUACAUUUAUGUUUCAUAAGUUUUAUGACUCACCUAUCAUUGACACAUGUUGAACUCUGAGAUUCCAGAAAGCUGUUAGCAUCUCUUAAAAAAAUAAAGGCAGAAGAUUUUUCUUCAAAUUAAUGGCAUCACAGCAUUCGAUUGAAAAUGACUGAAUUAUUUGAUUCUGCAUCUGCUGGAUGCUAAACAUCUUCAGAGUACCUGCUCUGAAAUACCACAUUUUAAAAAGUAAAAUACUUUAAAGGGAUGCUGCAUAAUUGUUCAAGGAGUUUUACAGAAACACAAAUCCAAGUUUCCACCUCCAAGGAUAUCUAUCUGUCACUGAAAAAAGAACCAACUUAAAAUAGCAUUGCAACUGGUAAAACUUGAAUGAAUUAAGUUGUUUGAACUUAAGUUAGCAAGUUAGAUCAGCUCUAAGUUCAAACAACUUAAUUCAUUCAGAUUUUACCAAUUGUAACACUUUUUAAGUUGGUCCAACUAUUCUCUUUUUUUUUCAGUGAUGUUUUGGUUGCCAUUGGCAUGUUUAAUUUGAUUGGCCUCAGGAUCCUCAACGAGGCAGGAACAAACUUCAAUAAGAUUUGGUGGGCAGUUUGGCCUGAGGUCAAGGAAGAACAGGUCAGGUCAGGUCAGGCAGAGAGCAUGCAGUGUUUCCAUUUGAACAAUAACAUCUCUUUAAGAACCAAUAAAGUGCCAUUGUUCAUCAAUGUGUGAAGGAUAUACAACAAAGGAACUCUGGACCUUUUAACUCUUGACUUGUCAUUGAAUAAUCCUAAUUGUAUUAAGCAGGAGGGAUUUUUUUCCCAUCUGUUUCCAUGGAGUGUAGAUACACUCUGUCAAAUAGUCCAUUGUUCUCAAAAACACAACUCUUAAUCUAAUUCUGGGACAACCCCCCAGUUGACUCGACCCUGUGAGGUUUUGAUGGCCUCAGACAUCAACCUCAACUGCAGACAUUCCUCACUGACACUACAUUCAGCUGUGUUCAAUA